rnacentral:ncRNA from 1 species
CAAAAGUUUGGUCCUAGCUUUGUUGUUAGCUACUACUUAAUUUACACAUGCAAGUCUCCGCACUCCAGUGAGAAAGCCCUUUAAACCUUUUUAGGCCAUGGAGCUGGUAUCAGGCACAAUCUUUGCCCAUAACACCUAGUCUCACCACACCCCCAAGGGUUAUCAGCAGUGAUAAACAUUGCCUAUUAGUGUCAACUUAACUCAGUUAAAGUAAAUAGAGCCGGCCAACCCGGUGCCAGCCGCCGCGGCUACACCAUUGGGCUCAAGUUAACAAUCACCGGCGUUAAGCGUGGUUAGAGAUAAAAUAAAUUAAGGUUAAAUUAAUACUUAGCAGUGAUAAGCUUGCCAUUAAGAAAACCAUAAACGAAAGUUACCUUAAUCCCCUUGAACCCACGACAGUUGGAACCACAAACUGGGAUUAGAUACCCCACUAUGCCCAACCGUAAACAAUUAACCUACACCUAUCAGCGCCAGGGAAUUACGAGCUAUGCUUAAAACCCAAAGGACUUGACGGUGUCCCAUCCCCCUAGAGGAGCCUGUUCUAUAAUCGAUGAUCCCCGAUAUACCCGACCACUCCUAGCUCUUCAGUCUGUAUACCUCCGUCGGAAGCUUACCAUGUAAACGCCAAAGUAGGCUUAAUGAUACCAUCAGCACGUCAGGUCAAGGUGCAACUCACGGAGUGGAAAGUAAUGGGCUACAGUUUCUAAACUAGAACAAACGAAAGACUAUGUGAAAUCAUAAUCAUGAAGGUGGAUUUAGUAGUAAAAAGAAAAUAGAGUGUUCUUUUUAAUUAGGCCCUGGGACGCGUACACACCGCCCGUCACCCUCUUCGAUACUUUACUUCUAGUUUAUAACCUGUCACCCUAAAUUAGAAGAGGUAAGUCGUAACAUGGUAAGUGUACUGGAAAGUGCACUUGGCAUAU